rnacentral:lncRNA from 10 species
GUGUGAGCAACAAGGCUGUUUAUUUCACCUGGGUGCAGGCGGGCUGAGUCCAAAAAGAGAGUCAACAAGUGUGGUGGGAUAAUCAUUAGCUACCAUAGGUUUUGGGAGAGGUGGUGGAGUUAGGAGCUAUGUUUUGCGGACAGGGGUGGAUCUCACAAAGUACAUUCUCGAGGGUGGGAAGAAUUACAAAGAACCUUCUUUAGGGUGGGGGAGAUUACAAAGAAUCUUCUUAAGGGUGGGAGAAAUUACAAAGUACAUUGAUCAGUUAGAGUGGGGCAGAAACAAAUCACAAUGCUGGAAUGUCAUCAGUUAAGGCUAUUUUCACUUCUUUUGUGGAUCUUCAGUUGCUUCAGGCCAUCUGGAUGUAUACAUGCAGGUCACAGGGGAUAUGAUGGCUUAGCUUGGGCUUAGAGGCCUGACAAUCCUGUCUUCUUAUAUUAAUAAGAAAAGCAAAACAAAAUAGUGAAGUGUUGGAGCAGCGAAAAGUUUUGUGGGUGGUAAGAAGAGAUAAUGGGCGAUGUUUCUCAGGGCUGCUUCAAGUGGCAUUAGGGGUGGCGUGGGAACCUACAGUGGGAGAGAUUCAACUGAAGAAUGAUUUUGGGGUAAGGGGUGAUAUUGUGGGGUUGUUAGAAGGAACAUGUGUUGUAUAGAAUUAUUGGUGAUGGCCUGGAUGUGGUUUUGUAUGAGUUGAGAAACUAAACGAAAGACACAGGGUCCAAAUAAGAGAAGGAGAAAAACAGGUAUUAAAGGACUAAGAAUUGGGAGUACCCAGGAUAUCCAAUUACAGAGUGUCCAAGGAGGUUCAGCAUAAUUAUUUGCUUGGUUGGCAAGUUUUUGGGCUCUAUCCUUGAUUUUUUUUUAUGUUGUCAUAUACCAGGCCAGAUUGAUUUAGAUAAAAUCAACACUCUUCAUUUAAAAAUAUACAGAGUCCCGUUUUUUUGUUGUUGUUGUUGUUUUUUUUUUUUUUUUUUUUUUUUAGCAGUGAGUAAGUCAGGGCCUCAGUGAUUUUGGAGGAAAGAGAAAUACAAAGCCAGCAAUUGUUUGUUAAAGAAGGAUUAGAAACGGCCAGGAGAGAGUGAGUUUGAUAGCGUGGUGGAGAUAGCUGGGGAGAGGUAGAGGGUGGCAUAAGAACGGGAACCAGAAUAAGAGUGAGUAUAAAAGGGAAGAAUAGGAUUUCAUCAGGGUGAAAGUUCUGGAGGGUACCUUGCCACUGAAGAUCUAUCCACUUCAAGAGAGACUUAAAAAUGGCGAUUUGAGGUAAAACCAGGAGCCACUAAAUACCAAGAGCCUGAGAAAUGGCUUGGGUGAUUUGACUAAUAAAGGCCAGUCUGUUAUUGGACUGUAUAGAGGUGGGAGGAUGGUAAGGGGUAUGAAGCUUUCACUGAAUACCAAGAGCCUGAGAAACUGCUUGGGUGAUUUGACUAGUAAAGGCCAGUCCGUUAUCAGACUGUAUAAAGGUGGGAAGGCCAAACAGAGGAAUUAUGUCUGACAGAAGGGAAGAAAUGACCAUGGUGGCCUUCUCAGACCCUGUGGGAAAGGCCUUUCUUUACCCAUCCAGUGGAAGUGUCUAUCCAGACCAAGAGGUAUUUUAGUUUCCUGACUCAAGCUGUGUGAGUAAAGUCAAUUUGCCAGUCCUGGGUGGGGGCAAAUCCCUGAGCUUGAUGUGUAGGGAAGGGAAGGGGCCUGAACACUCCCUGAGGAGUAGCAGAAUAGCAGAUGGAACACUGAGAAGUGAUUUCCUUCAGGAUAGAUUUCCAUGAUGGAAAGGAAAUAAGAGGUUCUAAGAGACGGGCUAGCAGCUUAUAACCUACAUGGAAGAGGUUAUGAAAUGAUGACAGAAUAGAAUGGGCCUGUAAGGCUGGAAGGAGAUAUUUUUCUUAGUCCAGUAACCUUUUGCCUUGUGUGGGAAGAGAUUGAUAGGUGGAAGUUUCAGUGGGGGAGUAAGUGGGAGUGACCAGAUGAGAAGGAGAAAAACUGGCCGUGAGGGGCAGAAGUUGGAAUGCUAGCUGCUUCUUUAGCUACCUUAUCAGCAUAAGCAUUGCCUUGACUGAUGGGAUCUGAUACCUUUUGAUGGCCCUUGCAGUGAAUGACUCCAGUUUCCUUUGGAGGUAAAGCGGCCUUGAGAAGAGUUUUUAUUAAAGAGGCGUUAAUGAUGGAGGACCCUUGCAUAGUGAGGAAACCUCUUUCAGCCCAUGUAACAGCAUGGUGGUGCAGGAUAUGGAAGGCAUAUUUAGAGUCAGUAUAAAUAUUGACACGUAAUUCCUUUGCAAGAGUGAGGGCUUGAGUUAAGGCAAUGAUUUUGGCUUGCUGAGAAGUAGUGGAGUGGGGCAGAGUGGUAGCCUCAAUGAUAGAUGUGGAAGAUACUAUAGCAUAGCCUGCCUUUGCUGGUGUGUGGUGAUUAGGCCUGGUGGAACUGCCAUCAAUAAACCAGGUAUGAUCAGUGUGAGGAACAGGAAAGAAGGAAAUAUGGGGAAAUGGACAGAAUGCCAAGUGUAUCAGAGAGAUACAGUCAUGGGGUUCAGGUGUGGUAUCAGGAAUAAUGUGGGAGGCUGGAUUGAAGUCCGGGCCAGGAACAAUGGUAACUGUGGAAGACUCAACAAAGAGUGGGUACAGCUGAAGGAGCUGGGGGGCAGAAAAUAUAUGUGUCAAGUGUGAGGAGGAAAAUAGAUUUUGGAAGUUAUGAGAACUGUAGAGAGUAAGUGGAGCAUAGCUUGUGAUUUUGAGGGCCUCUAAAAGUAUUAAAGCAGCUGCAGCUGCUGCAAGCAGACAUGAAGGGUAGGCUAAAACAGUAAGGUCAAGUUGUUCAGAUAAAAAGGCUACAGGGUGCAGUCCCGGCUCUUGUGUAAGAAUUCUGACCUCACAGCCCUGCACUUUGGCUGUGUGUAAUGAAAAAGGGUUGGGAUGAGUUAGGGAGAGCUAGUGUGGGGGCAGCUUCUAGGGCUGUUUUUAAGGAACGGGAAGGAGUGGCAAAAUGAUUUAGGAUCUGUGGGGUCAGCUAGGUUUGCUUUUGUGAGUUUAUAUAAUGGUUUAGUCAGGAUGGUAAAACUAGGUAUCCAAAGGCUGAAAUACCUAACUAUGCCUAAGAAAGAAAGGAGUUGUUGUUUUGUAGAAGGGAUUGGGGCUUGGGAAAUUAGCCAGACACAAUCAGCAGGGAGAGCAUGUGUGUUUUCAUGAGAAUUAUGCUGAGAUAGGUAACAGAUGAGGAAGAAAUUUGGGCUUGACUGAAGUAAUGGGGGCUGUCUGUGAAGCCCUGCGGCAGUACAGCCCAGGUAAUCUGCUGAGCCUGAUGGGCGUCAGGGUCAGUCCAAGUGAAAGCAAAGAGAGGCUGGGAUGAAGGGUGCAAAGGAAUAGUAAAGAAAGCAUGUUUGAGACCCAGAACAGAAUAAUAGGUUGUAGAAAGAGAUAUUGAGGACAGGAGAGUAUAUGGGUUUGGCACCAUGGGGUGGAAAGGCAAGACAAUUUGGUUGAUAAGGUGCAGAUCCUGAACUAACCUGUAAGACUUGUCCGGAUUUUGGACAGGUAAAAUGGGGAAAUUGCAAGGAGAGUUUAUACCCUUUAAAAGGCCAUGCUGUAACAGGCAAGUGAUAACAGACUUUAAUCCUUUUAAAGCCUGCUGUGGGUUGGGAUAUUGGCAUUGAGUGGGGUAAGGGUGAUAAGGUUUUAAUGGGAUAGUAAUGAGCAUGUGAUUGAUUACCAGGGAGGGAGUAGAGGUGUCCCAUACCUGUGGAUUAAGGUGGGGAGAUACAAGGAGAGGAUGUGAAGGAGGCUAUGAACUGGGUUUGAAAAGGAUGCAAUGAGGUGUGGCUGUAGCCCAGGAAUAGUCAGGGAAGCAGAUAAUUUAGUUAAAAUGUCUCAACCUAAUAAGGGAACUGGGCAAGUGGGGAUAACUAAAAAGGAGUGUAUAAAAGAAUAUUGUCCAAACUGGCACCAGAGUUGGGGAGUUUUAAGAGGUUUAGAAGCCUGGCCAUCAAUACCCACAACAGUUACGCAGGCAAGGGAAACAGGCCCUUUAAAAGAAGGUAAUGUGGAACGGGUAGCCUCCAUAUUGAUUAAGAAGGGGACGGGCUUACCCUCCACUGUGAGAGUUACCCGAAGCUUGGCGGCCGUGAUGGUCUAGGGGGCUUCCGAGGCAAUCAGGCAGCGUCAGUCUUCAGCUGCUAAGCUGAGAAGAUCUGGGAAGGAGUCAGUCAGAGAGCCUUGGACCAGAGUUCCAGGGGCUCUGGGAGUGCCUUCCAGGUGAGUUGAACAGUCCGAUUUCCAGUGGGGUCCCGCACAGAUGGGACAUGGCUUAGGAGGAAUCCCAGGCUGCAGGCAUUCCUUGGUCCAGUGGCCAGAUUUCCGUCACUUGGAGCAAGAUCCUGGGGCAGGCGGUCCUAGAGGAAUGCCUGGCCACUGCGGUUCAGGCAUUUGGAGUUCUUGUGUGCUGGAGAUGUGGCUGGGGUUUGUCUCACAGUGGAGGCAAGGAAUUGCAAAUCAGAAAUACAUUGCUACUUGGCUGCCUCUACUCUGCUAUUGUACACCUUGAAGGAGACGGGCAAACACAGAAGGUGGAAUGGGGCAAAAGAUGCUGAGUAAAGGACCUUGACCAAAGCUAAAGAGCAAAAUAAAAGUAGAGCUGGAUUCUGACCCCAAGCAGUUUAGUUCCACGUGUGCCUCCCACCAAGAAAUAGCCCUAGCCUGACACAGAUAGUAACUGCAAACAGUACUGAUCAAGAGGAACUCCUAUUUUUGAAAGACUUGCCAGCAUCAAAGACCAGUUCUUCAAAUCAACCCAGUCAAAGAAAAUAAAAAAAAUGAAUUCAGAAAGUGAAAACAAAAUCUGGAAUAAAUAUGAGAAUAAGAUACCAAAUCCACAAUUUAUUGCCAUUCCUGAGAGAUAAGAAGAGAGAAUAAACAACUUGAAAAAAUAUAUUUGAGGAUGUAGUCCACAAAAUAUUUCCUAAUUUAGGUAGAUAAGUUGACACGCAAAUCCAAGAAAUACAGAGAACUGCAGUGAGAUACUAUACAAGAUGACCAUCCCCAAGGCACAUAGCCAUCAGAUUUUAAAAAGUCAAUGGAAGAGAAAGAAUCGAAAGACAGCUAGAGAGAAGUGUCACCUACAGAGGGAACCUAAUCAGGCUGGCAGUAGACCUCUCAGCAGAACCCCUACAAGGAAGAAGAGAAUGGGGACCUAUUUUCAUUGUCCUAUAAAAAUAAAAUACAACCAAGAAUUUUAUAUCCUUCCAAACUAAGUUUCAUAAGUGAAGGAGAAACACCGUUCUUCUCAGACAGAAAAAUGCUGAGGGAAUACAAUCCAAACAGACAAGCCUUACAAGAGAUCCUAAAAGAAGUUCUAAACAUAGAAUUGAAAGAACAACAUCUGCUACAAAACACAACAACAAAACAAAAUCACACAUAAGUACAUAGGCCACAGGCACUAGAAAGCAAUUACACAAUCAAGCCAAUAUAAAACAAGCUAACAACAAAAUGACAUCAUCAAAAUGUCACAUAUCAAUACUAACCCUGAAUUUAAAUGGGUUAAAUGCCCCACUUAAAAGACAUAGAGUGGCAAGGUGGAUAAAAAUAUAAGAUGCAACUAUCUUUAAUCUUCAAGAAAAUUUAUAUAUUAACACCCUCAUGCCCAAAAUAAAGGUAUGCAGUAAGAUCUGCCAUGUAAAUGGAAAACAAAAAGAGCAAGAGUCACUAUUCUUAAAUAAUAUGAAACAUAUUUUAGAAGAAUAAAAAUUAAAGAUGGACAAAAAAAGAAACGUUACAUAAUGUAAAGGGUAAAAUCCAACAAGAACACUUUUAUUUAACUAGCCUAAAUACCUAAAUUUCUAUGCACCCAACACUGGAACAUCAAGAUUCAUAAAACAAGUAUUCUUGGACUAUAAAAAGACUUAGAUAAUCACAAAUAUCUGUGACUGGGAGACUUCAACAACCCACUGGCAGUGCCAGGUACAUCAUUGAGGCAGAAAACUGACAAAGAAAUUCUGGACUUAGAUUUGACAUCUGAGCAAAUAGACCUAGUAGACAUCUACAGAACACUCCUCUCAACAUCCACAGAAUGGACAUUCUUCUCAUCUCCACAUAGAAUGUAUUCUAAGAUUGACCACUUUCUUGUUCAUAAACAGUCUCAACAAAUUCAAAACAAUUUGAAUCAUAGCAAGCACACUCUCAAACCAUCGUGCAUUAAAAAUAUAAAUGAAUUUCAAGAAGAUCUCUCAAAAGUACAAAAAUUCACGAAAAUUAAAACAUUUCCCCCUAAAUAACUCAUGGAUGAACCUUGAAAUUAGAGCGGAAAUCAAAAAAUUAUUUGCAUUAAUAGAGACAUAACCUACCAGAACCUCUGAGAUGCAGCUAAAGCAGUGUUAAGAGGAAAGUUUAUAGCCCUAAAAUGCCUUGAUUGAGUGUUAGAAAUAUCUCAAAUUAGUAAUUUAAUUUUGUACCUAUAGGAACUAGGAAAAAAAAGAAGGAAACAACCUAAGAGCUAUCAGAAGAAAACAAAUAACUAAAAUUAGGGAAGAACUGAAUGAAACUGAGAUGCAAAAAUCCAUACAAAAGAUCAAUAAAACCAAGAGUUGUUUUUUCAAAAAAUAAACAAGAUUAAAAGACCCCUACAUAGACUCACAAAAAAAGAGAAGAUCCAAAUAAGUACAAUCAUACCUGAUAAACAUGACAUAACUGAUGCCACAGAAAUACAAAAGAUCCUCAGAAUACUAUGAAUAACUCUAAGCAUACCUAUUAGAAAACCUAGAGAAAAUGGGUAAUUUCCAGAAAGAAUUGCCGAAGAUUUAAUCAGAAAGGGAUUCAAACACUGAGUAGACCAAUAUUGAGCUCUGAAAUUGAAUCAGUAAUAAAAAUUCUACCAACCAAAAAAAGUCCUGAACCAGAUGAAUUCACAGCUGAAUUCUGCCAGGUGUACAAAGAACUGCUACCAAUCCUACUGAAAAUAUUCCAAAAAACUGUGGAGGAGUGGCUUUUCUGUUAUUCUUUCUACGAAGCCAGCAUUAGUCUAACACCAAAAUCUGGCAGACACAAUUAAAAAAAAAGAAAACUUCAGGCCAAUAUUCCUGAAGAACACAGGCACAAUAAUUCUUAGCAAAACACUAGCACACUGAAUGUAGUAUAUUAAAGACUAAAUAUACUACAAUCAAGCAGGAUUUAUUCCUAGGAUGCAAGGCUGGUAAAACAUAUACAAAUCAAUAAAUAUUCACCAUCUAAACAGAAUUAAAAACAAAAACUCUAUGAUCAUCUCAAUAGAUGCAAAGAAAGCUUUCAAUGAUAUCCAAGAUCCAUUCAUAAUAAUAAAAAAAACCUUGAGUGACUAGAAACGUAAGAUCAUAUCUCAAAAUAAUAAUAUCCAUUUAUGACAAACCCACAAGCAACAUCAUACUGAAUGGAUAAACACUGGAAUUAUUUUCUUUGAGAACUGGAACAAGACAAGGAUGCCUCUUUCACCACUCUUAUUCAACAUACUUCUGGAAGUGCUAACCAGAGCAAUCAGAUAAGAGAAAGAAAUAGAAGGCACCCAAAAAGGAAAGGAAGAAGUCAAACUAUCUUCACCAGUUAUAUGAUUCUAUACCUAGAAAAUCCUGAAGACCUUGCCAAAAGGCUACUAGAACUGAUAAAUAAUUUAGUGAGGUUUCAGGAUACAAAAAUCAAUGUAUAAAAGCCAGUAGCAUUUCCAUACACCAACAACAUCCAAGCUGAGGAUCAAAUCAAGAACACAAUCCUACUUACAAUAACCACAAAGACAAUGAAAUACCUAGAAAUACUGAUAAACAAGGAAGUGAAAGAUCUGUACAAGGUGAACUACAAAACACUGCUGAAAGAAAUCAGAGAUGGCACCAAUAAAUGGGAAAACAUCCCAUGCUCAUGGAUUUGAAGAAUCAGUAUCUUUAAAAUUGCUGUAUUAGUGUGUUUGUAUUCUUCUGAUAAAGAUAUACCCAAGACUGGGUAAUUUAUAAAGAAAAACAUGUUUGUUUAAUGGACUCACAGUUCCAUGUGGCUGAGGUGGCCUCAUGGCACAAGGCAAAAGACACUUCUUACAUGGUGACAGGAUGAAACUAGAGAAGAUAAAGUAAGGAACAGAUUCUCUCCCAUAGAUUCUGGAGGGAGCAUGUUGAUUUUGAACACCUGUCUAAUUGAACUAUGGAAAAUAAAUUUCUGUGUUUUGAAACCACCCAAGUUGUGAUAAUUUGCUGUAAAAACUGCUGAGAACUAAUCCAUACCUUGUCAUGUUCUGUAGAUGUUGUAUUUGAGCAUAGAGAAGUUGGCAACUUUCCAUAGCAUAAAAUGUAGUAAGGGUGGAAGAAGCAGGCAUUGCAGAAUGAUAUUGUUAUGAAGUGAAAGGAAUUAUGUUAAUGUAGCGAUUUCUGUGUUUGCAAAUGCAGGCAAAUUUUUAACUAUUCAAUAAAGCAUGAAUUUCCUAAUACACUGGUUUAAUAUAUUUGGUUGGUUUAGUCUGUGCAUAAGAGUAGAUAGGUCCUGAUAUAAUGCCCUCAAAGCACAUGUUGGAAAAUAAAAUUGGUCAUCAUAGCAGGCUAAAUGGUGCUCUCCUCCAAGAAAAAAAAAGUCUAUAUUAGAGUCUCAGACAAUAUCACAUACUGUGACAGAAGGGUGACUACUACCUUAUAUAACAAAAGAUGUGAUUGAAUUAUGUCUUUUGACAGUAAGGGCUUUUUCGGGAUUCUUGGGGUGGGGUGUAAAUGCAAUCACAGAUAUCCUUAUGAGAGAGAGGCAAAGGAAGUUUAGAGAAGACACACAGAAGAGAAGGCAAUGUGCAGACGGAGGCAGAGAUUGGAGUGAUAUACCUACGAGUUAUAUUCUGGCAGCUACCAAAAAUGGGAAGAGGUAAGGAAUGGAGUCUCUUCCAGGUCACCUAAAGGAACGCAAUCCUGCCAGAUUUUGGACUGUGAACAUCUAGACUCUGUGAGAGGAUAUAUUUAUAUUGAUUUAAUCCACCUAGUAUGGGAUAAAUUAUUAUAGCAACCAUAGGAAACUGAUACAUUCAUAAACAAGAAAAGACAGCAGUUUAACCAGAAAAGCUGGAUAUUAUUUGGUGUAUAAAAGAACAAAGAGGGGCUAGUGCAAAUAAAUUUCUAAUGCAGGCUAUUACAAAAAUUAUGAAUACUCAUCACUUUGAUGAGUAAUUUCACCACAAAAGCACAUGAUAUUUUGGAGUGUAUUCACACUAUGCCAAAUUGUAUAUUUUACAUCCUAUAGUAGAAACAUUUACUCAGCCAAGAAAUAUAAAAUAAAACUCUGUAAUAUUUAUAAAAACUGUUCUAACUCAGAGCAAGCAUAUUAAACUAAAUUACCCAUGUGAAAAUGCAAAACUACAGUUAAACAGUCCCUAAGGUUAAAGCCUGUGUCCUGAAGAAAGAGAAGACCUUUUUAGUCUAAUAAGUAAGGCAAUCUAAGAACAUCCUGUUUGCUUUAUUUUUUUAUUAUAUACAUUUUCAUUUUCCUAAACAAACUUUAUAGUUUUUAUUUUAACAAACAUGGAAUAGCAAGUAAAGAAAAUUUAACUUAUUCAUGGCUUCUGCCAUUGAAUAAUUAGAUUUUUAAUAUCAAUAUUAC